rnacentral:lncRNA from 12 species
AGGCUUCACAAUCCCCUAUGGGCUCUUUGAAUUUACUGAGUGUGUCAUUGUCUCCUACUAGUCUCCUCCUAGUCUGCUGAAUAGUGAUACACAAAUAUUCUUUGCUUUUCUUUCUUUUUUUUUUAAUUAUGGGAAAGAGGAAAUACCAGGACUAGCUCCUUAGAAUUGGAUAUAGAGUUGGGUAAAGGAUUAGCUCUUGCUCUCUCUGUGACAUCAGACCCAAUACAUUGUGUUUAAAGAGCUGGUCCAUGGAAUGCCAAGAUAUUCAGAACCCAAAAUGAUGUAAUAAAUCAGGACUGUAAAUGGAUAUGGGCAGAGAACAGUUGUCCAUCCUCAUGGAUGGCAUGAAAAUGGGCCAGCCAUGAGUGAUUGGACUUCCUAUCAGGGGAACAAGGCUCUGGAUGGCAUCCCAUAGGUCAUCUUGGCUGUUCAUACACCAUAAACAUUCUUGCCAAACUUCCCUUCCAUAGGCAGAGAAAAUACACCACUAUCAUUGGGAAGAAUCAAGGGGAGGACUCUGUGCUCCUCUGAAAUCCACUUUCCUCCAUGUCAUCCCGCCUUCCGCCAACUGCGAUGUCAGGAACAGGAGUAUAACUCCCAGUGACUGGCAGUCCCCAAAUGUCAGAUCUUUGCUGAGAGAAGCAUGUCUGAGGAUCUCUGAAGGCUAAUUAAUGCU